AGAGUUUUUUAUGAACCAGAAUAAGCUGGUAAUAAUAAAGUUUAUAAGUUGCUUUGAGCAUAAUAAAAAUGACUCAUUUCAUAUUAUAGUGAUGGUUCUUUUGCUCUAGUGAGUUAAAUGUAGCAAAUGCUCAAAGAUAGCUUUUGAAUAUGUGUGUUCCAUUAAGGUCAGCCCUCAAUUUGGUAGAUUCUAAUAACAGAUUAUGAUCUAUUUGUUGUAGGAAGAAAGUUCAAAUGAACACCACCCAAUUUUUCUUUACUGUUUUUAGGCAAGACUCAUCAUUCCCAGGCAAUGUCAGAAAAGGCUGUAUCUUCUAACCACACUCCUGUGAGUCAGACUUUGAGGAGACCCUGGGCUAGAUUUCAGCUUCGCAUUUUUUUCUACCAUCACUAGUGAUUGAGAGAACAUUUGGACUGCCUGUGAUUUCUCCAUUCAAGAGAGCAGUUGACAUGCUGUGAACACUCUGGUUUAUUCUCGAGAUUUUUCCAUCACUGUAUCUGCAUAGGACCCAACUAAAUAAACCAAAUCAUGAAGUUUGGUGUAAGAAGACUGUUCCUUUUGAGGGGAUGCCCUCCCUUGGACCCAAAAAGGAUUAGAAGUUGUUGCUGCCUCAGAAGAUGAGCCAUCAAGAAUGUGGUAGAAAUGCAUGCAACUUCUGAGCCUGGACCCAAGGGGCAUCGCAGCUUCUGGUCUUAUCCUCUUGGAAAGCUUCCACUCUCAUGUGAAGAAGACCAGAAUGAAAGACUUGUGGAUAGAGAGGCCACCCAUCCCAUCGGAGGCACCAGACAUGUGAGUGAAGCCAUCUUGGAUGGUCCAGCCACCGGCAAUCCCCAGAUUACUACAGCUGCAUAAGCAACCCCAGGCAAGAAUGGCAGAAAAACCAAUCCAGGUAAGCCCUGCCCAUUGCCAACCCAUAGAAAUUGAGCAAAUGAACGAUGGUGUUUUCAGCCAUUAACUUUGGGGAUGAUUUAUUAUGCAGUAAUAGAUAAACAAAUACACCCCUGGUGGCUGAAAACAUAAUCUUAGUCAACUCCAGAAAAGUAUGUUUGGUUUAAAUUCAAUCAAUUCAAAAUUUACUCAUCCAUAGCUUUCUCCUUGAAGUGGCAUCUAAAGUUCUACACAGCUCCUAUAUCUAAAACCUGAACAGUGCAUUUAAUAUGCUCAAGCUAUUGUAUAAAACUCUACAUCCAACAGAGAAUACACUUUCUUUUUCAGACAUGAGAAAUUUACAAAAACAAUUCAUGUAUUAGGUCAAAAGGAAAUCUAAAUAAUUCUGAAGGAUUCUUAUGUAGACUAAACUACUUACUGUAAUACAAUAAACUUAGAAGUUAAAAACCAAAGGAUACCUUUUAAAAUUUUCACAUAUUUAGAAACUGAAAAAUAUUACUAAAUAUAAGGGUUUCAAGUGAUAAUUCAUACACUAUAUGCCAAAAUCUAUGAAAUUCAUCUUGCAUUACUUAGAAUGAAAUAUAGCUUUAAAUAAAUUUUUAGGAAAUAAGAAAUAUUAAAAUAAAUUAUCUAGGUCUUUAAGUUAUGUUGGUUUGGGCUUUCUGGAAGUUGCAAUAAAAAUAUGCUCAUGAGAUAUUGUAAUAGUGUUAUAUGGUGACAGAUGGCAGCUAGCUACACUUGUGGUGAGCAUAGCAUAACUCCUACAGUUGCUGAAUUACUAUGUGGUACACCUGAAACUAAUGUAACAUUGUGUGUCAACUAUAUUUCAAUAAAAAAAGAAGUAUGCUCAUGACACUGGGCCCUCAGAUUUUCUAAAGGUUACCACCCCUUUCAUUUUUUGAUUGAUUUUGAAAGUCUCUGGAUCUUCUCUUAUACUACAGAGAAUAUCUGAACGUCAGGCCACACAACAUUUUAUGUAUUAAAUUCUG